rnacentral:lncRNA from 1 species
UUUUAUUCUAGUGAUUAGAUUUUGUAUUACAGCCUGCACCCUCCUGUUUAAGAAUCUGAAGACAGGCAUUUUCUGGUUUGUGUUGAGACACGGGAGUCUUGAAUAUCUCUUCAGCUGCUUCCUAAUGUUUGUUCCACAGGAAGGGAGUUAGUUGGUAGCACAAUGUGCUUUGUUGUAUCUGCAUCAGCAAAGCAGAUAAGCUCAGCCUCUCUUCAUCUGAAAAAGGAACAGAGGAGUAGCACCAGGAGACGGUGCAAUACUUCAGGAUAUUGUGAAGAUUUCAGGCAACAAGACGACUUUCAGCUGUAUCCAGGCAUUGCAGCACUCCAGCUGUGUGAGAGUAAUUUGCCUCUUAAUCAGAGAUUUCAAAAAUCAGGCUUCAUCUGCUGAAGAAUUCAAAGGUGAGAAUUUUCCUUUUUCUUAUUUCUUUUCCAAACAAUUGGCAACAAAUAGAAAGCCCAUUUCUCAGUACAAUUGCAAAGCACGUGUGUUAUGGUCACAUAUAUCAUGUGCUUCUGUUGAUUUUGUAACAAAGAAUUGUUUCUGUCAAAAGGUGCUUAUCAAAAUUAAAUAGAAUCAAUAAAUAGCUUGCUAAUAUUUUUGUGUGAGCCA